rnacentral:lncRNA from 1 species
GUUCACUGAACUGACCUGCAAGAAGAAUAUCUGAUGGAGCCUUACAGCAUGUCGACAGAUGGUUCUCCAGUGGGAGUGGUGCAAGUGAUCCUUUGGCCUGAGAUCAUCAUUGUACCAUAUGUACAUAGAUCCUUACUUUGGUUUUUUCUCUAACAUGCCACUUUGAGAUGUGUGUGGGAUAUUUUGGGUAUGGUGAAGUAUGCAUAGAGGUUGUGAGUGGUCAAUAAAGAAUCAGUCACUCCUUGUAGGGAAUAUCCUAUGUAAUCUCAUAGGAUGAUGACUUUGAGAGUCUCUGACC